rnacentral:lncRNA from 1 species
UUAAAGAGAAGCAGCUGCCUGCUACAACAAGGUCAUUGUGUGGACUUUGGCCGCUACUACAAGAGUCUGUGCCAAGCACAUCUUGGUCAUCACAGAAGACCCCAUCUACACCAACAGGAAGGGGCUGGAGCCGAAUUCACUAGGCUCUACACCACGAACAAAAAAGCCACUCCAGAACUAUUUGGAUGAGAUAUGAAGUCUACGGACGACUGUGUCAAGAGUGAAAAGAGCCUCAGCCAUCAUUCCACCAGCACGGAUAUUGGCCGAGUCAUCCAGGUGCCUCGACAACAAAAAUUCUGUGUCUUCAGAUGUACCUGCAACCUCUGAACAAACACAGACGAUGCUGGCCAAAAAAGUUCCGUCAGCUUGCCCUUAAUGAGCUUCCUGGCCUUGUCAAAUACCAUUUGUGCCAAGUGUAAUUUUUUUUCAAUGAAUGCAAGCUUUUUCAUUCCACAUUCUUGUUAGAGAUCAUUUCUCUUCCUCAUCCAAACAUUAAAGGUCAACCGAUUCUUUGCUCAUACUUAAUACCAGUCACUGUCUAGUAGCACAACAUAUCUGUAGCAGUAUUUUCUAGUGUACGUGCUCUCCUGAAGUAGCUGAUGCGGCAUUGGCAUGUGUCUUGCAUUAACCUUUGCACUGUGUGCUAUGUAGCAUUAAACUUUUCUUAAUGUUUUUGGCUUUCAGUGCUUGCAAGGUAGAGUUGCUUCUUUCUUGAAUGCAAGUGUUCUCAUUCCCACAUUUAAUUCCUAGUCUCAUUCAGGAUUGCUAUUCUUGCUCGACAGCCUGUGUUCUUGCACAAGCUACAUUGAAGUGAUUGAUUGCGGAAUCUGGUUUCACUGCUGUUCGACUUGGUACUCGUCACCGUGUUACGUUGCUCGUAUGUGGUAGCCUGGUCAGUUGCAUUGGGAAACAGUCUCUCAAGGCAAGCACCUGCUCCUGCAGUCCGCACAGCGACAUAGACUCCGAAUUUACACGCACCGUGAUUGGUGCUCCCAGUUCCGUCCUCUCCUGCUGCUGCCAUGUGCAAAUUAUGCUUGUGGCCUUCCUCAGCCAUGAUUUUGCAUCAACGGAGACUAUCAUACGUGAAUACAUGGUCCGAAGUGUAUGAAGUUGAUAUCCACAUGGAUGGAAAGGUCUGCAAAAGUGGCUGCAAAAUGGUGAUGCUCACUACACCAACCAUGCCCAUAUUUAGAAAAUGUGGGGCACCAAAUGUGAGUUACACAUUAGUGGCACACGAAAGAACAAAAAGAAAUGUGCAGGUUGGAAAGGAGGUAAUGCUGAAAUGCCGGGCACUCUAUGUUGCUAUGUUGCCUGCGGCAGCAGAUGCUUGCGUCACCCAAUUGCUUUGCAAUGCAAGUAGCUCAUCUUCAACAGCGACUGUCAGUGCAAACACGUGGGACGCACUGUCCAAUCUGCUUGCACUGCUGGUUGUCACUUGUUCCCAGACCACCACGUGCGACGAAGGCAAGCACUAUGCCUGCAGUUGGAUGGUUGAAUGUGCCAUAAGUGACCCGUGUGCGUGUAUGCUCACUGUUGUCAUGUGGAUCGUAGCCAAUGUAUAGUGCCAAUGCCUUAUGUUAGAAGUAUGCUGAUGUGAUUGGAUUGCAGAGUCUUAUUUCAAGGCUGUCCCACUUGGUCAUGAUUGCCGUGUUACAUUUCUGGGAUGUGGUGGCCUGGUCAGUUGCAUUGGGCAACAGCUUUUCAAGGUAAGCACCUGCUCCUGCAGUCCGCACAGUGACAUAGACUCCCUGUUUACACGCACCGUGGUUAGUGCUCCCCGUUCUGUCCUUUCCUGCUGCAGCCGUGUGCAAAUUUUGCUUGUGGCCUUCCUCGGCCAUGAUUUGGCGUCAACGGAGACUAUCAUAUGUGAUUACAUGGUCCGAAGUGUAUAGGGUUGAUAUCCACAUGGGUGGAAAAGCCUGCAAAAGUGCCUGUAAAACAGUGAUCCUCACAAAACAGACCAUGUCCAUACUGAGAGCAAGUGGGGCACCAAGUGUGAGCGACACAUUAGCGGCCACCGAAAGAACAACAAGAAAUGUGCAGGUUGGAAAGGAGGUAAUGCUGAAAUGCCGGGCACUCCAUGUCACUAUGUUGCCUGCAGCAGCAGAUGCUUGCGUCACCCCAUUGACUCGCAAUGCAACUUACAGCGACUGUCGAUGCAAACAGGUGGGACCCUGUCAAAUCUGCUUGUGCUGCUGGUUGUCACUCAUUACUAGACUGCCAUGUGCGACGAAGGCAAGCACUGUGCCUAAAGUCAGAUAGCUGAAUGUGUUGUAAGUGACCCGUAGUGCGUGAAUGCUCACUGUUGUCAUGUGGAUAUUAGCCAAUGUACAGUGUAUUGUCUGAACCUUAUGAGGUGAUUGAAUGCCGAGUAUCAUUUGAUCAUGGUCACAGUGUUGUUUCUUGGAUGUGGCGACCUGGUCAGUUGCAUUGGGCAGCAGUCUCAUGAGGUAACCAUCUGCUCCCGCAGUCCACAGAGUGAAUUUACACACACCAUAAUUAGUGCUCUCCGUUCGACCUUUCCUGCUGCAGCUGUGGGUAAAUUAUGCUUGUGGGCCUUCAUCGGCUGUGAUGGGGAAUGAGUGGACAUCAGCAUACGUCAUUACAUCAUCCGAAGUGUAUGAAGUUGAUAGCCACAUGGGUGGAAAGGCCUGCAAAAGUGGCUGCAAAAUGGUGAUGCCCACAAAACCGACCAUGCCCGUAUUGAAAAUGUGGGGCACCAAGUGUGAGUCACACAUUAGCGGCACGCGAGAGAACAAAAAGAAUCGUGCAGGUUGGAAAGGAGGUAACGCUAAAAUGCCGCGUAGUCCAUGUCACUCUGUUGGCUGCAGCAGCAGAUGCCUGCAUCACCCGAUUGCUUCGCAAUGCAAGUUAGGGUGACUGUCAAUGCAAAAAGGUGGGGCACUGUCCAAUUUGCUUGCGCUGCUGAUUGUUACCAGACCGCCAUGAAUGAAUGAAUGAAUGAAUGUGCGACGACGACGAAAGUGAGCUUCUCAGCGCAUCUCGAGGCGCAAAUUUUAUUUCUGCUCUUGUAGGGGAAGGUGCACUGCUUUUCUUCUGCCAGUAAAGUCGCACGUCCUGUUCACUCA